rnacentral:piRNA from 1 species
UGUAUACUGUUCAUCUGCGGAGCCA